rnacentral:rRNA from 1 species
UAUGGAAAAGCAAAUGUAGGCAUGAGUAACGAUAAUGCGGGAGAGUAACCCGCACACCGCAAGACCAAGGUUUCCUGAUCAACGCUAAUCGGAUCAGGGUUAGUCGGGUCCUAAGGGUAAGCCGAACGGCGAUCUCGAUGGAUAAUCGGUUAAUAUUCCGAUACUAACAUAUACCUCGAUGGAGAGACGAAGGAACGUAAGUGCCGCCACCUGACGGAAUAGGUGGUUAAAGGGCGUAGGUAUAGGGGCAGAUUAAGAGUUAGUCCUUGCUGAAACCUGACAGUACAGAGAGCCUACGGGCAAUUUGAUAGUGCACCCAAGUCGACUUCCGAGAAAAUCUUCUAAGUUAUAGUAUAUGUUACCCGUACCGUAAACCGACACAGGUGGUCGAGGAGAGUAUCCUAAGGUGCUCGAGUGAAUCACGGUUAAGGAACUAGGCAAAUUAACCCCGUAACUUCGGGAAAAGGGGUCCCUAUGAAAGUAGGGCGCAGCGAAGAGGUCCAGGCGACUGUUUAUCAAAAACACAGGGCUCUGCAAAUUCGAAAGAAGACGUAUAGGGCCUGACACCUGCCCGGUGCUGGAAGGUUAAGAGGGGAUGUCAUCGCAAGAGAAGCAUUGAAUCGAAGCCCCAGUAAACGGCGGCCGUAACUAUAACGGUCCUAAGGUAGCGAAAUUCCUUGUCGGGUAAGUUCCGACCUGCACGAAUGGUGUAACGAUCUGGACACUGUCUCAACCGUGAGCUCGGUGAAAUUGUAGUCCCGGUGAUGAUGCCGGGUACCCGCAACGGGACGAAAAGACCCCGUGAACCUUUACUAUAGCUUAACGCUGAAUUUGGGUACACAAUGUGUAGGAUAGGCCGGAGGCUUUGAAGCGGGCACGCCAGUGUUCGUGGAGCCGACGUUGAAAUACGGCCCUUUGUGUAUUUGAGUUCUAACCCUGCGAAGGGGACACCGUUUGGUGGGUAGUUUGACUGGGGUGGUCGCCUCCAAAAGCGUAACGGAGGCUUCCCAAGGUACCCUCAGCACGAAUGGUAACCGUGCGCGGAGUGCAAUAGCAUAAGGGUGCUUGACUGUGAGACAUACAAGUCGACCAGGUACGAAAGUAGGGUAUAGUGAUCCGGUGGUUCUGCGUGGACUGGCCAUCGCUCAAAGGAUAAAAGGUACUCCGGGGAUAACAGGCUGAUCGCCGCCAAGAGCUCAUAUCGACGCGGCGGUUUGGCACCUCGAUGUCGGCUCGUCACAUCCUGGGGCUGGAGAAGGUCCCAAG